UAGGGAAUCUUCGGCAAUGGACGAAAGUCUGACCGAGCAACGCCGCGUGAGUGAAGAAGGUUUUCGGAUCGUAAAACUCUGUUGUUAGAGAAGAACAAGGACGUUAGUAACUGAACGUCCCCUGACGGUAUCUAACCAGAAAGCCACGGCUAACUACGUGCCAGCAGCCGCGGUAAUACGUAGGUGGCAAGCGUUGUCCGGAUUUAUUGGGCGUAAAGCGAGCGCAGGCGGUUUCUUAAGUCUGAUGUGAAAGCCCCCGGCUCAACCGGGGAAGGUCAUUGGAAACUGGGAGACUUGGGUGCAGAAGAGGAGAGUGGAAUUCCAUGUGUAGCGGUGAAAUGCGUAGAUAUAUGGAGGAACACCAGUGGCGAAGGCGGCUCUCUGGUCUGUAACUGACGCUGAGGCUCGAAAGCGUGGGGAGCAAACAGG
rnacentral:rRNA from 1 species